rnacentral:rRNA from 1 species
GACGAACGCUGGCGGCGUGCUUAACACAUGCAAGUCGAACGGAAAGGCCUGUCCUUCCUUGUGUUGGACGGGUACUCGAGUGGCGAAUGGGUGAGUAACACGUGAGUGAUCUGCCCCCAACUUGGGUAUAAGCCUGGGAAACUGGGUCUAAUUCCCGAUAGGACUGCAGGGUGGUGCCUGUGGUGGAAAACGAUUUUCUAGUGGUUGGGGAUGAGCUCGCGGCCUAUCAGCUUGUUGGUGGGGUAAUGGCCUACCAAGGCGGCGACGGGUAGCCGGCCUGAGAGGGUGGACGGCCACAUUGGGACUGAGAUACGGCCCAGACUCCUACGGGAGGCAGCAGUGGGGAAUAUUGCACAAUGGGCGGAAGCCUGAUGCAGCGACGCCGCGUGGGGGAUGACGGCCUUCGGGUUGUAAACUCCUUUCGACCGCGAGGAAGCCGCCUGGUUGGAAGGGUGGUGACGGUAGUGGUAGAAGAAGCACCGGCUAACUACGUG